ACAGCCGCAGCCGUUGCAAAAGCGGCGUGUAUUUUUCACUGGACUUUUACUGAUUUAAUAGAUAGUAUUUAGUUUUUUAAAAGAAGACGAAUGGAGACAAUAAAGAAACAGCCCGUUUUCCCGUGGUACAAGGAGAGGUUGCAGACAAAGUAUCUCAAAGCCCCGACAAGCAAGCAGCCCUCGGUCAGCACUCGGUGGCAUUUCAUAAACACGAGCCUUGAUGACUUCAGUGGCUCCCACAGUGGCCUCUCACCGGUUAUUUUCCAGGGAACUCCACACCACAGCUCCGGUCAAAAGCCUAGAAAGAGCCUCUCUAAGGAGCACGCCUGCUUCUCAAAGCAGAUGAUCCAAAAGCAGAUCCGCAGAGAGUAUGUGGCCUCUGUGGAGGAACAACUCAAACAGCAUCCUCUAGUUAUGUACCCUCACUAUAAGGAUCACAUGACGCCUGAGCUAUUUGAUCAGGUGGUAUCCGUAUUGGACCCAGAUAUGUGCAUAAACAGCAUGUCUGUACUUCCUGCGCCUACGGGAGACCAUGGAGAGGUGGAAGAUGAGGAAAACAGCAGAGAGCCAAGUGAUGAGGAACUGGACGGACACAAAAAAGAAACAUCUGCCAA